rnacentral:rRNA from 1 species
AAUUUUGGACAAUGGGCGCAAGCCUGAUCCAGCCAUGCCGCGUGAGUGAAGAAGGCCUUCGGGUUGUAAAGCUCUUUCGGACGGAAAGAAAUCGCGCAGGCUAAUACCCUGCGCGGAUGACGGUACCGUCAUAAGAAGCACCGGCUAACUACGUGCCAGCAGCCGCGGUAAUACGUAGGGUGCGAGCGUUAAUCGGAAUUACUGGGCGGAAAGGGUUCGCCGGCGGUUUAAUAAGAACGGCCGUAAAUCCCCGGGCUUAACCUGGGAACUGGCCUUGUGACUGGUCCAGUUGAGGUAGGCAGAGGGGGGUGGAAUUCCACGUGUAGCCGUGAAAUGCGUAGAGAUGUUGAGGAACACCGAUGGCGAAGGCAGCCCCCUGGGCCGAUACUGACGCUCAUGCACGAAAGCGUGGGUAGCAAACAGG